rnacentral:rRNA from 1 species
GUAGAGGAUGCUUCUGGGCAGCGGCCGGUCUAAGUUCCUUGGAACAGGACGUCAUAGAGGGUGAGAAUCCCGUAUGCGACCGGUUGGCACCCGUCACGUAGCUCCUUCGACGAGUCGAGUUGUUUGGGAAUGCAGCUCUAAAUGGGUGGUAAAUUCCAUCUAAAGCUAAAUACCGGCCAGAGACCGAUAGCGCACAAGUAGAGUGAUCGAAAGAUGAAAAGCACUUUGGAAAGAGAGUUAAAAAGCACGUGAAAUUGUUGAAAGGGAAGCGCAUGCAACCAGACUUGUCGGCGGUGUUCCGCCGGUCUUCUGACCGGUCUACUCGCCGCCGACAGGCCAGCAUCGUGUGGGUGCGCCGGAUAAAGGCGUCGGGAAUGUGGCCCCUCGGGGUGUUAUAGCCCGGCGCACAAUACGGUGCCGCCCGCGCGAGGUCCGCGCUUCGGCUAGGAUGCUGGCGUAAUGGUCGUAUGCGGCCCGUCUUGAAACACGGACCAAGGAGUCUAACAUCUGUGCGAGUGUUCGGGUGUCAAACCCCUACGCGGAAUGAAAGUGAACGGAGGUGGGAGCUUCGGCGCACCAUCGACCGAUCCUGAUGUCCUCGGAUGGAUUUGAGUAAGAGCAUAGCUGUUGGGACCCGAAAGAUGGUGAACUAUGCCUGAAUAGGGUGAAGCCAGAGGAAACUCUGGUGGAGGCUCGCAGCGGUUCUGACGUGCAAAUCGAUCGUCCAAUUUUGGGUAUAGGGGCGAAAGAC